CCUUGAUGUUGUCCAGGUUGAAGAGGACAGGUUGAAGAGCCUACCUACCUUGAUGUUAUCCAGGUUGAAGAGGACAGGUUGAAGAGCCUACCUACCUUGAUGUUGACCAGGUUGAGAGGACAGGUUGAAGGGCCUACCUACCUUGAUGUUAUCCAGGUUAAAGAGUCUACCUACCUUGAUGUUGUCCAGGUUGAAGAGGACAGGUUGUAGAGCCUACCUACCUUGAUGUUGUCCAGGUUGAAGAGCCUACCUACCUUGAUGUUGUCCAGGUUGAAGAGGACAGGUUGAAGAGCCUACCUACCUUGAUGUUGUCCAGGUUGAAGAGGACAGGUUGAAGAGCCUACCUACCUUGAUGUUCUCCAGGUUGAAGAGCCUACCUACCUUGAUGUUGUCCAGGUUGAAGAGCCUACCUACCUUGAUGUUCUCCAGGUUGAGAGGACAGGUUGAAGAGCCUACCUACCUUGAUGUUGUCCAGGUUGAAGAGCCUACCUACCUUGAUGUUGUCCAGGUUGAAGAGGACAGGUUGAAGAGCCUACCUACCUUGAUGUUCUCC